AAAGAACUGCCGGGGUGUGAAUUCGCUUUCGUUAGGUGACCAGCGGACCUCGAGCUUAUUUAGCAGUAGCGCUAACCCCCGGUGGGGAACGCUGCUGAGUGCUGGCUGUCGUAUAUCGAACGGUCUGACCCGGGGACGGAAAUGCACGAGACUAACCGGCCCUGGACCCCCGGUUUUUGAAACCACAUACCUACAUAUAUAUAUAUAUAUAUACAAACCUACAUGCAUACGUACGUACAGAUCUCACCAUCCUCACCAAAUUCACUACGACUACUACGAUCACUGUCGUGAAUCAGCCCGCGUACGACAACUCAUUCCGAGGCCCAAGUUUGAUGGAGAAUGCUCAUCCCAACAAAAUGCAAACUGUAUCAGGAUGCCGCUAAUGCCGCACGGAAGCCCACCCCACCCCAAACCAACCCCAAUCCACUCCACCAGGCCACACUUCAAGACCGCAUCCCACCACGAGUUAUCGAGAAUGUCGAAUACGUGUAAAAGUAAAUCGAGCUUCUCAUAUCAGAACUCGGCGGUGCUACAGAACCCGCUAAUUUGAUUCCCUUUCCGUACCCAAUUGUACGGCGACAGCAGCCGUACACACAUGCAUUUUCAGAAGCACUUGGGCGCGUAACUAGGUUUGCGUCUGUCCAUUCAUGGUAUCGUGCUUGUGCAUGUGCCUACUGAUGGGUACGACUGCAGUACAUGCCUUGCGAUGAGGAUACCAACCACACAACAGAACAUCGUCAUCACCAUCAUUAUCAUCAUCAUCAACAUCAUCAUCACCACCACCAUUUUUUACGUUGCAUGAAUUAUGUGUCAUCUUCAUCCCCAUCCAUCAUCAUGCAACCCCCAACUCUCCAGCCAGGGAUGCGGUAUGAACACUAUCGCUGCGGGCGAAGAGAUCUGAUCCACGGCUGAGUGCCGUACCAAGAUCCGACAUGACGUCGCCGCCACCGGGAAUAGAGCCGCCGCCGCCACCUCCGCCAGCGUCUGUCGCCACGUCCGUCAGAAGACUGUCGCCCAGGGUAGACAAGUCAAUGCCGGCAUCCGUGUCAGCGCCGCUGCGUGGUGCCGCCGGCGGCGGCGGCGGCGGCGGCGGCCCCUCCGCCAGCUCUUCCGACAACGUGCUGGCGUCGCGUAUGCUGGAUAACAUCCUCAGCCUCCGGUUAAUGCUUGGUCCGCUGGACUCCGAAGUGAAAGAGGAGGAUGACGACGCUGCGUCAUCGUCAUCAUUGGCGGCGGCGCCUGUACGUUCGCGUGCCGGCGCUGCCACGGCCACUGCCGCCGCCGCCGCCGCCGCCACCGGAGAUUUCUGCGUUGUUAUCGAAGAUGUUACGGAGCUGCUGCGGCGGCCUGAUGAUGGCCCCCGGGUGAUCCGUGGGGAUGGCCCGUGACCGUCCGAAGACUGGGGCUUGGUCGGCGGCGCAGGAACCAGCAACGGCGGCGGCGCCGCGGCCGCCGCCGCCACCGCCGCCGCUGCUGUGGCUUCCGCCUCCUCGGUGGCUGCACGCGCGCGCUCCUCUUUCUCAGCCUCCUGCCCUCACGCAAUGUGUAUGGCCAUGCCGGACAGGGUGAGAUGGGGUGUGGUAGGGUGAGGGGAAGGGGAGAUAAGGAGGGGACAAACAUACAAACAAACACACAAACAGGUCCGAUAGGACUUAGAAAACGUUCAGAUCAUAAUAAAGCCUCAGUUGUUAAUCGUGCCUCAGCUGAAGCGUUGGAAAUAAUACGUAAAACAACAGAGUUCAUCUCAGAAAAGUUAAUAAUAAAUAAAGUAAGUUGAGAAAAUGGCCAAGUCUUAUGUAUUCUCGCCAGCUCUCAUCUGCCACACGCAGUCUCACAUCAUUAAAAUUACAUCCAUAAAUCCGUCGUACAACAAAUACCCAAGCACCAUCCAUCUCCCCCCCCCCUCAUUCCCCCCUUGGGAUCUCCCAGUACACGUAGAGUAUCCCACCUGGGCUGCUCGCUCAAGGGUCUGUCGUACAAGCUCCGCAUUGCGCUCCUGGGCUACGCGGCGUGCAUGGUACGGCACUGGUACGGGCUCCAAACGCUCGCUCAGGCGACUGGUAGCAUCCUGUACGUACGUAUGUAUUUGUACAUGUAUGUAAGUAUGUGUGAUAAUAUGUUUUUCAACAUGUACGUAAGUUGUUAGGCAUUUGGGUUAGGUAGGAAGAGACACAGACGCGACACAGAGUACGACUAUUACUAUUACUAAUAUUAAUUAUCAGUAUCAUUAUCAUCAUAUUCAUCGUCAUCACAAGUGAUAACAUCAUUGCCAUCUCAUUUAUCCCCCGGAAGAACCAACCAACCGACUAUGAUUCACCAACU
rnacentral:lncRNA from 1 species